rnacentral:tRNA from 2 species
GUUUCUUUAGUAUCAACAAGUACAGUUGACUUCCAAUCAACCAGUUUCGGUGAAACCCGAAAAGAAAUA